ensembl:lncRNA
CUGGAGGCGGCCCUGGGGAUGUGUGGAGGCCUGGGGCAGCUGUGCUGUGCAGCCAGGCUGGGAGAGCCGGGGCUGUGCAGCCGGGAGAGGAGCAGGGGCCGGGGAGGCCUGACUGUGGCCUUCCAGUGCCCAGAGGGGGCAGAGAGCCAUGGGGGAAGUGUUUUAGACGUGGAAGGGGAAGGUUGAGAGCAGAUGUUUGCAAGAGCCAGGAGGGUGGUGAGUCAGUGGAACAGGCUGUGCAGAGAAGCUGUGGAUGCCCUGUCCCUGGAAGGUUCCAGGCCAGGCAGGACGGGGCCCUGAGCACCCUGAUGGAGCAGGUGGCAGCAGAACCAGGCCAUGGCUGCGGUGCCCCCAUGGCCUUCUGCAAGUUCAUGGGUGAGCAAAGCGCAGCCCCGUUAGCUGGGCAUGGAAUGUUGGCACCGGUUGCCAGGGGCACUCCUGCUCCAAAGGUUCUGUUCACACUGAGUCUGUUGAGCCAGUUGACGGAUUCUCUGCUGUGCAGCAGACACAGAGCAUCCGUCUUCUCCAUCCCGGGUGGGAAGAGAGAGCCGUCUGCUGACAUUUGUGAGCCAAACUCUGGAGUGGCUGUACAGGUUUGGAACAACAAUUUUGUGUCACUCCAAAAAAUCUGCAGUGGGCUGCCCAAAGGAGCAAAAGGGAUUGAUCAAAUCCCUGACAUUCCUUUUCUGGUGUUUGUCCCACCUACUUUGCCGGUGCUAUUAGAUCAGAAAACACCAUGAGCUCACGUCAGCGAAAGCGCCCGGGAGAGGGGUGUGAUUCCUGUCCACCUCGGAAACAGAGCAGGCUGCUGCCCUCCAAAGCAGAUGGAACUUGGCAGACAGAGCCAACAGACUGUGAGGAAAGUUGUUCACCUGCUCUAGAGCCUGAAGUCUUAGAUCUCACAGGCCAUUCUCCGGAGCCUGAAGUCAUCACCAUCAAUGAUGAAGAAUCUCCUGUGCAGAGCCAGCAGCAGCCACACCUUUCCAGGGCCUCAGACAAUUCAGCUGAGCCACUGGCAAGGAAUGAUGAAGAGGAAGCAAGAGAAGAUGAUGGUGCACAGCCUGCAGAUCCCGCUUGUCCUCUGAGUAGGGAGGAUGAAGACUCAGAGGUGCGGGACAGGGAGCAGAGUCAGCUGUAUCCCCUGGAUUCCAGCGAGACAGAGGAUUCAGCUGAGCUUUGGCCCAGUGACAAUGAAGAGGAGCCAAGAGACAAUGAUGAUUCUAUUAACUCUGACGAGUGGCCAGAUCGUUUUGAGAGUCCUCCGACAUGGCGGGAUGACAUUACAGAUGACUGGGAGGGGAGCCAGCAGUACCCAUUGGAUUCUGGAUCAGCAGAGAAUUCAAACCAAGUACUGGCGAGCAACCUCCAACAGGAACCAAGAGAUAUUGAAUUUGAACCGCCAGGAGGUCUCGUUAGUCCUCCAAAUUGGGAGGAUGACAAUGCAGAGGUGAGGACCCACAUGUUGUUGUCAUUUCUGAUGUGUGGGAGGGGAAGGGAAAAGAGGGGCACUGCACAACUCAGUUGUUUUAGAUGGGUGCUACGGGCAGCUGGCUGGAAGCACAGCCCUUCCUGGGUAGCUCCAAGUUGCCCAUUCCUGCAAGUCCCUCCUUGGUGGUGUCCAUAG